AGGUGAAAAUUUUGUUUUGAAGUUAUAUGGACCCAGAAGAAAAUUCUGUUCAGAACUGUGGGACUAGGUUUGUUACCAGUAAUAUGAAAGGCUCAGAGUUUUGCCUGGAAAAGAAAAAAAAGGUUAAAGUACCAGCGAGGAGACUUCGUGAGAUAGUUUCUCCAAAUCAGGGAGAUAAUUUGGCUUUGCUGAAAGAUGAAUUGUCCCGCGUUCCUCCAGCGUUGUCUGCAAAUAAACGUCUUCCUGUUAGAACUGGGAAGAGCCUGAAUGGAACGUUAUGUGGUUCAUCAGACUUAACUUCUGCCAGAAAUUAUCAGCAGCCUCCAGUAGAAAAUCCUACUGUGUCAGAAAGUGAUUUUUCUAAAGAUGCUGCAGUGCAAGUGUUGCCUUUGAAUAAAAUGGAAGAGAACAACAGACAAAAAGCAAAUGACAUCUUUAUUUCUCAGUACACUGUGGGACAGAAAGAUGCUCUAAGGGCAGUUUUAAAACAAAAAGCUCAAAGCAUGCCUGUUUUUAAGGAGGUGAAGGUACAGCUUUUAGAAGAUGCAGGCACAGAAAAGGACCCUGUUACCCAGGAGAAUAGAAUUUCACCCAGUGGAAUUGAUUCAGCUACAACUGUGGCUGCAGCAACUGCCGCCGCCAUUGCAACAGCAGCUCCACUGAUAAAAGUGCAGAGUGAGUUGGAAGCAAAGGUUAAUUCUGUUACAGAAUUACUCAAUAAGUUACAAGAGACUGAUAAACAGUUACAACGUGUUACUGAGCAUCAGACGACCAUGCAGAAUAAACAGGAGACACUACACUGUCAUGAUCAUGAAAAACAAAUGAAUGUGUUUAUGGAGCAACACAUUCGGCAUCUCGAAAAGCUGCAACAACAGCAAAUUGAUAUUCAGACUCAUUUCAUCAGUGCUGCACUCAAGACUAGUAGUUUUCAGCCUGUUAUUGUACCUCCUUCUAGAGCAGUGGAAAAGUAUUCUGUAAAACCAGACCAUUUGAAUUUUGGUAGCAGUAAUCUGUCUUCACAUAAUGUUUUUUCUUCCAAACAAGCAUGUUCAAGAGAGGUUGAAGAUACAAGUUUUGAUAAACAGAAAUCUCCUUUGGAGACACCAGCACCCCGCAGAUUUGCUCCUGUUCCUGUUUCAAAGGAUGAUAAAAUAUCAAAGAGGGAAAAUCCUAUAGAAGAAAAAGAAAAUAUGAAGCUUUCAUGUCAUACAGGAAGUGUAGGAUUCUUGGAACAAAUUCUGAAUAACCGUGAUUCUUUGACGAGAAUAAGUGAAUCUUCAGACAAAACCUCACUAGCUAGGUCAAAAAUGGGAUGGAAUCCUGAGAGGAGAAACAGCAUUGAUACUAUAGCCACUCAAAGAUUUCCUUCCUAUGAAGAACUAGGAACAGCUAAAGUGACUGUGCAGAAGUCUGACGAUAUUCUUCAUGAACUUGAUCAAAAGAGGAAAGAAACAAAUAGUAUACUCCAGUUGAAAGAAUCUCAGAUGUCAGGGCUUGCGGAUCUUCCACAGAAUUCCAUUAAGCUUCAAAUAACAAAUACAAGAUCUGUAUUGAAAGAUGCUGAGAAGAUUUUAAGAGGAGUACAAAAUAAUAAAAAAGUACUUGAAGAAAAUCUGGAAGCUAUAAUUCGUGCAAAGGAUGGAGCUGCCAUGUAUUCAUUUAUCAAUGCUCUGUCCAACAACAGGGAGAUAUCAGAGAAGAUUCGGAUCAAAAAGACUGUAGAUGACUGGAUUAAAACGAUUUCUGCAGAAAUUCAAGAUGAACUGACGAGAAAAGAUUAUGAACAAAAGAGAUUUGAUCAGAAGAAUGAAAGGAACAAGAGAGCUUACAACAUGAAUAAAUAUAUUAAAACCAACACACAAGAUAAAACUGUAAACAGCUCUGUAAUUCCAAGAAAACAUUCUCAAAAACAAAAAGAGGAUCGUCUUCGGAAUCCACCUAUAAGGAGCAUGCCUGCUUCAAGCUUACAGAGAGAGAGAAGAGAAGGAUUUUUGAAAGCAACCACAGUGGUGCAAGACAAGGAUUAUAUGUUACAAAUAUAUGGAAAACCAGUUUAUCAGGGUCACCGCAGCACUCUUAAAAAAGGACCAUAUCUCAGAUUUAAUUCUCCAUCUCCUAAGUCCAGACCACAGAGACCAAAAGUAAUAGAACGAGUUAAAGGCACUAAAGUAAAGUCUAUAAGAACACAAACAGAGUUUUCUGCCACGAAACCUACAAAGGUGGAUUCUAAGUUGCAACAUUCUAUUACUACACUGUCUCCUGGUGAUCAGCAGUAUUUGUUCAGCCCAAGCCGGGAAAUGCCUACUUUUUCAGGUACACUGGAAGGUCAUCUGAUUCCUAUGGCAGUUCUUUUAGGACAAACCCAAAGUAAUAGUGAUUCCAUGCCACCUGCUGGGGUAAUUGUAAAUAAGCCACACCCUGUAACAGUGACAACUUCAAUUCCACCAUCAUCUCGAAAAAUAGAACCUGGAGUAAAGAAACCUAACAUAGCAGUUGUAGAAAUGAAGUCAGAAAAAAGGGAUCCUCCUCAGCUUUCUGUACAGGUAUUACCCAAUGUAGACAUUGACAGCAUCUCUAAUGGUAGUGCUGAGGUCGGUCUGUCUCCUUCUAGUCCCAAAGAAGCAUCUUCUCCUCCUUUGAGAACCUGGAUACAGGCUCCAGAAUUUACGAAGGCAGAUGAAGAAGAGAUGAAGUUUCCAGGAAUGAACUUUGAUGAAGUAAUUGAUAUUGUACAGGAAGAAGAAAAAUGUGAUGAAAUUUCAGAAUACUCUGAACCAAUUCUGGAGUUUAAUAGAAGUGUUAAACCUGUUUCUACAAAAUAUAAUGGCCCUCCAUUUCCGCCAGUUGCUUCUACUUUUCAGCCCACUACUGAUACUCUGGAUAAAGUAAUUCAGAGAAAAGAAACAUUGGAAAAUAGCUUAAUUCAGUGGGUAGAACAAGAAAUAAUGUCAAGAAUGAUCUCUGGGCUCCUUCCAGUCCAACAGCAAGCCACAGCUAACGUCAGUGUCUCAGUCAGUGAGGCCAGUGAGCCAGUGACUUCUGACAUUGUGGAAGGAACAAGCAGUGGUGCCCUCCAGCUUUUUGUCGAUGCUGGGGUUCCUGUGAAUUCAGACAUGAUCAGGCAUUUUGUGAAUGAAGUUCUUGCUGAGACCAUUGCUGUCAUGCUAGGUGACAGAGAAGCAAAGAAACCAGAUCCUGUUGUUACAGGUGUUUCUGGAGAUGUGUCAACAAGUGAAACACACUUGCCGGCAAGAGUGUGUACCCCUUUGGCUACCCCACAGCCAACUCCUCCUCGUUCGCCUUCAUCACCUCCUAAGGAGCACGUGUUGGUAAAAACUCCAGAUUCUUCUCCCAGUGUUUCAGAUCACGAUGUAGCUUUUCCCAUGAAAGAAAUAUUGGCUGAAGAAGGAAAUGAUAUGCCUGCCAUCACACUUGUUAAUACCCCAGCAGUCACCCCAGUGACUACACCUCCCCCCGCAGCUGCUCCUACCCCGACUUUGUCAGAGACUUCAAUUGAUAAGUUGAAGAUGUCAAGCCCAGAGCUUCCCAAGCCAUGGAGUAAUAGAGACCUGCCACUGGAAGAAGAGAAUCCCAACUCUCUUCAAGAAGAGCUUCACCCAAGAGCUAUUGUAAUGUCUGUGGCCAAGGAUGAAGAACCUGAGAGCGAGGACUUCCCUGCUCAGCUUGCUCCUCCAAAGCCAGUUGCCCGUAUGUCACUUCCUGCUGGCAUCAAGGCUCCUUCCCCCAUACAGAUACCAAGUUCAGAUUCCUCCACUCUUGAGAGUACCUUGAGUGUUACUGCCACUGAAACGGAAACCUUAGAUAGACCCAUCUCUGAAGGAGAGAUCUUAUUUAACUGUGGUCUCAAAGUGGCUCCUAAGAUUUUAGGAGAUGAAGGACUAUAUCUGGCAAACCUAAAUGAUAGCUUAUCCAGUACUUUGCAAGAUGCCCUCGAAAUGGAAGAUGAUCCUCCCAGUGAAGGACAAGUGAUUAGGAUGCCCCAUAAAAAAGUUCAUGCCGAUGCAAUUCUUUCUCUUCUUGCUAAACAAAACCCGGAAUCAUUAAUUUCACAGCAAGCCAUAUAUCAUUCAGAGGACUUGGAAAACAGUGUGGGUGAGCUUAGUGAAGGACAGAGGCUGCCAGCAGCAGCAGCAGAGAGUGUCUUCAUGGGACUUUCCGCGCACGUGCAGCUGCCUGUGGCUAGGGCCGAGUCCUCAGAUGCAAAAUGUGCUCUGAAGCCAUCAUCUCAGCAGUGUGACACGGUUGCAGCAGAUGCUGUUUAUGAAGAUUUAUGUGCUAGUCAUGGUCCAAUGAGUUUGGGAGAAUUGGAGCUGCAGCCAGAUCCUCCUGUUACUCUUCCCACGACACUUCUGACAGCACAAGAAAGUGAUGUUAAAUUAUCAGAAGCCACUGAAGACUUUCCUCAGUACCAACAAAAGCAAGACCAAGAUGUUAAGCAAGUUGAACACAAGCCAAUUCAAAGUCGUUUAAUACGUGUAAGAAAUAAAUCUGAUAUUUCACUUUCACAGCAGCAAGCUUCACCAGGUGAUACAGAUCAGACACAAAUUGAGCCCAGUCUGUACCUCACAUCUUUAUUUACAGGUGGUAAAGCGGUUCCACUCUUCACUUCUCAGACAUCACCUGCCAAGAUGUCUGUGACAUUACCCUCAGUGAACCUGGAAGACUGCUCUCAGUCUCUGAGCAUCGGCACUGUCCAGGCGGACACGGAAUCCUCAGGAGCAGAUACCUUCUGA
rnacentral:lncRNA from 1 species